UACGGGGGGGGUAAGCGUUGUUCGGAAUUACUGGGCGUAAAGGGCUCGUAGGCGGCCAACUAAGUCAUACGUGAAAUCCCUCAGCUUAACUGGGGAACUGCGUGUGAUACUGGAUGGCUUGGAUUUGGGAGAGGGAUGCGGAAUUCCAGGUGUAGCGGUGAAAUGCGUAGAUAUCUGGAGGAACACCGGUGGCGAAGGCGGCAUCCUGGACCAAUUCUGACGCUGAUGAGCGAAAGCCAGGGGAGCAAACGGG
rnacentral:rRNA from 1 species